rnacentral:rRNA from 1 species
CCUACGGGAGGCAGCAGUGGGGAAUAUUGGGCAAUGGACGCGAGUCUGAACCAGCCAAGUAGCGUGAAGGAUGACUGCCCUAUGGGUGGUAAACUUCUUUUAUAUGGGAGUAAAAUGUUCCACGUGUGGGAUUUUGUAUGUACCAUAUGAAUAAGGAUCGGCUAACUCCGUGCCAGCAGCCGCGGUAAUACGGAGGAUCCGAGCGUUAUCCGGAUUGAUUGGGUUUAAAGGGAGCGUAGGUGGAUUGUUAAGUCAGUUGUGAAAGUUUGCGGCUCAACCGUAAAAUUGCAGUUGAAACUGGCAGUCUUGAGUACAGGAGAGGUGGGCGGAAUUCGUGGUGUAGCGGUGAAAUGCUUAGAUAUCACGAAGAACUCCGAUUGCGAAGGCAGUUCACUGGACUGCAACUGACACUGAGGCUCGAAAGUGUGGGUAUCAAACAGGAUUAGAUACCCGGGUAGUC